CCUACGGGAGGCUGCAGUGCGGAAUAUUGGUCAAUGGGCGGGAGCCUGAACCAGCCAAGUCGCGUGCGGGAAGACGGUCCUACGGAUUGUAAACCGCUUUUGCCGGGGAGCAACUUGGGCCUUGCGAGUGCCCGAUGAGAGUACCUGCAGAACAAGAACCGGCUAACUCCGUGCAAGCAGCCGCGGUAAUACGGAGGAUGCGAGCGUUCUCCGGAUUGAUUGGGUUUAAGGGGUGCGUAGGCGGGCUGUUAAGUCGGCGGUAAAAUGUGGGGGCUCAACCCCGGCUGGCCGUUGAAACUGGCGGCCUAGAGUGGGCUAGAGGUAGGCGGAAGGCGUGGUGUAGCGGUGAAAUGCAGAGAUAUCACGCAGAACACCGAUUGCGAAGGCAGCAUACUGGGGCACGACGGACGCUGAGGCACGAAAGCGUGGGUAGCGAACAGGAUUAGAUACCCCAGUAGUC
rnacentral:rRNA from 1 species